rnacentral:rRNA from 1 species
UUCGCCCUUGUUGAUCCUGCCGGACCCGACUGCUAUCAGAGUGAGAUUAAGCCAUGCGAGUCAACGUAGCAAUACGUGGCACACGGCUCAGUAACACGUAGUCAACAUAACCAAAGGACGUGGAUAAACUCGGGAAACUGAGGCUAAACCGCGAUAAUUCAAGAUACCUGGAAUGGUUUUUGAUCAAAAUCUAUAUGGCCUUUGGAUUGGACUGCGUCCGAUCAGGCUGUUGGUGAGGUAAUGGCCCACCAAACCUGUAACCGGUACGGGCUCUGAGAGGAGGAGCCCGGAGAUGGGUACUGAGAAAAGGACCCAGGCCCUAUGGGGCGCAGCAGGCGCGAAACCUCUGCAAUAGGCGAAAGCCUGACAGGGUUACUCUGAGUGACUUUCGCUAAGAAAGUCUUUUGACACCUCUAAAAAUGGUGUAGAAUAAGGGGUGGGCAAGUCUGGUGUCAGCCGCCGCGGUAAUACCAGCACCCCGAGUGGUCGGGACGAUUAUUGGGCCUAAAGCAUCCGUAGCCGGUUUUACAAGUCCUCCGUUAAAUCCAGCUGCUUAACAGAUGGGCUGCGGAGGAUACUAUAAGACUAGGAGGCAGGAGAGGCAAGCGGUACUCAGUGGGUAGGGGUAAAAUCCGUUGAUCCAUUGAAGACCACCAGUGGCGAAGGCGGCUUGCCAGAAUGCGCUCGACGGUGAGGGAUGAAAGCUGGGGGAGCAAACCGGAUUAGAUACCCGGGUAGUCCCAGCUGUAAACGAUGC